CGUAGGUGGCGAGCGUUGUCCGGAUUUACUGGGCGUAAAGAGCGCGCAGGCGGCUGGGCAAGUCCGAUGUGAAAGCUUCCGGCUUAACUGGAAAAUUGCAUUGGAAACUGCUCGGCUUGAAGGUGGGAGAGGGUAGCGGAAUUCCCGGUGUAGUGGUGAAAUGCGUAGAUAUCGGGAGGAACACCAGUGGCGAAGGCGGCUACCUGGCCCAUUCUUGACGCUGAGGCGCGAAAGCUAGGGGAGCAAACGGGAUUAGAUACCCCGGUAGUCCUAGCCGUAGACGAUGAACACUAGGCGUAGUCGGUAUCGACCCCGGCUGUGCCGUAGCCGACGCAUUAAGUGUUCCGCCUGGGGAGUACGGCCGCAAGGCUA
rnacentral:rRNA from 1 species